UACGUAGGUGGCAAGCGUUGUCCGGAUUUAUUGGGCGUAAAGCGCGCGCAGGCGGUCCUUUAAGUCUGAUGUGAAAUCUUGCGGCUCAACCGCAAGCGGUCAUUGGAAACUGGGGGACUUGAGUACAGAAGAGGAAAGCGGAAUUCCACGUGUAGCGGUGAAAUGCGUAGAGAUGUGGAGGAACACCAGUGGCGAAGGCGGCUUUCUGGUCUGUAACUGACGCUGAGGCGCGACAGCGUGGGGAGCAAACAGG
rnacentral:rRNA from 1 species